AGUGAACGCUGGCGGUAGGCCUAACACAUGCAAGUCGAACGGCAGCACAGUAAGAGCUUGCUCUUACGGGUGGCGAGUGGCGGACGGGUUAGGAAUACAUCGGAAUCUACUUUUUCGUGGGGGAUAACGUAGGGAAACUUACGCUAAUACCGCAUACGACCUACGGGUGAAAGCAGGGGAUUUUCGGACCUUGCGCGAUUGAAUGAGCCGAUGUCGGAUUAGCUAGUUGGCGGGGUAAAGGUCCACCAAGGCGACGAUCCGUAGCUGGUCUGAGAGGAUGAUCAGCCACAGUGGAACUGAGACACGGUCCAGACUCCUACGGGAGGCAGCAGUGGGGAAUAUUAGACAAUGGGCGCAAGCCUGAUCCAGCCAUACCGCGUGGGUGAAGAAGGCCUUCGGGUUGGAAAGCCCUUUGGUGAGGAAAGAAAAGCAGCAGGUUAAUACCCCGCUGUGCUGACGGUACCCAAAGAAUAAGCACCGGCUAACUUCGUG
rnacentral:rRNA from 1 species